UUUUUUUUUUUUUUUUUUGUAUACAUCAUGUGUUUAAGUGUUGAGACUUGAGAGGAAGAUAAUUUGGGAUUAUCGAUCUCUCAAUUGUUUUAUUUUUAUUUUUAUUUUUUAUAUAUAUUAAGUAAUAAUUAUGCAUUGAGAUCUGUCGGGGUGAUUGAAGUUAUGGUUUUUUUAGAAAAAUACCUAUUUAGUACUAAUUUAAACCCAUUGCCUAUUUCAAUAAAUUUAAUAGACAUGAGCUCAUUCCAAUAUAAGGUGUUCUUAUUUGUGCUCAAAUACACAAAUCUAUAUUAAAAUCAUAAUAAAAUAAUAAUUUUUGUAUAUUUUUAAGACAAUUUUAUCCUCAUCACUUCAAUAUGUAUAAGGAGAGAGAAAGUGAAAGAGUGAUGAGAAGACUUUGCCGGAACCUCACCGGACUCCGGUCGCCGGUCGUCGGACUCCGGUCAUUGGUCACCGGUUGCCGGUAUUUUUUCGGUCAUCGGUAACUCGGUUACUAACCCCUGAUAAUUAGUUACUGAUCCCCAAUAAUCGGUUACUGACUCCCAAUAACUUGUUACUAACUCUUAAUAAUCAGUUACUGACACCCAAUAAUCGGUUACUGACUCCCAAUAACUUAUUACUAACCCCUAAUAAUCAGUUACUGACCCCAAUAACUUGGUUAUGAAUCCCUAAUAAUUAGUUACUGACUCCCAAUAAUCAGUUACUGACCCCUAAUAACUUGUUACUAACCCCUAAUAAUCAGUUACUGACCCCCAAUAACUUGAUUACGGAUCCCGAAUAAUCAGUUACUGACCACCAAUAAUCAACUUAUUUCAGCUUAAUGUAAUAGAAAAAAACAAUAUCAGAAAAUAAUCAAGUUAUUGACCCCAAUAAUCGGGUUACUAACCCCUAAUAAUUUGGUUACUGAACCUUAAUAAUAGUUACUGAUCAUAAUAAUCACCCCCAGUGAAUCAUUUUCAUAUAGAUUAGGCUCUAAACGUAAACAAUUUCAUCCAAAUAAAGGGCACUAAAUAUUGAAAAAUAUUUACCCUUAAUAAAAUGUUUAUUGAUCCCAUUAGAACUUUAUUACCCCAUUAAUCACUUUUAUUACCACCUAAUAACCAUUUUCUUCCAGAAAAAAAAAAAAUUUCAUCUGCAACAAUCAACGAUGGCGUCCAUGGUUUUCAACCGGAAAACAUACCAGAACCGAGGCUUCAUUCUCACACCAUUGGAAGCCGGAAUACACCAUUGGCAGCCAGAAUCGAGGAGAGAGAAAGUUAGGGUUUGUUUUCAGGGAGAGAGAGAGAGAGAGAGAGAGAGAGAGAGAGAGAGAGAGAGAGAGAGAUCUGAAAGAUGAGAGAGUAUGAGAAUGAGAGGAUGAGAAUGAGAGAGGACGAGAGAGAGUGAGCGUGAGAGAGUGUUUAUAAGUCUAAGGGCAUAAUUGUUUUUUUAUUAGGUUUUAUUGGAAUGGGCUAUUAAAAAUUUUUUUCAUUAAAUUGGGGUUUACUUUAAAGAAAUUUAUGUAUUAAGGCAUUUUCUCUAUGUUUUUUUGGAGUUACUUUGUUACUAACUUAGUAAGUUAGUAUAAGCCUAGCUGCCUAGCUACUAUGUACCCUUAUUCAUGCAGAUUAAUUUUGUUGAAAAUAUCUCUUAGGGAUAGAUGGAGUCUCACCAUCGAUUCAUGGUUCAAUACUUCGCUAUUCCUGAACUCCCUAGCUUGAAUGUUUUCAUACCGUAGUCAUUCAAUAAUAGUUAAAGUGACUAAUAUUAUUGGGUUCUGGACUUCUGGAGAUUCAUUCAUGUUCGAACUUGUUCUAGAUGGGUGAUAUAGCGUUGCUGAAGUUAGGAUUUUAAUCAGGUGAAGACGACAUAACAUAUCAAACAUGGAUCGAGCCGGAUCCCUGUCAGGAAAACUAUACCAUCAGGCACUGUAGUCAUGGAAUCAAAAUUUCAGUUGCAUGAGAAAAAAUACAAGUGCAUGAAGCGAAAGGGUUAAAGGGUACAGAUUGGAGUCCUCAUGUGAUUGGGUUAGCCUAGAAAUCGUAACAGAACAUAUCAUGCCUAUCAGUGUUGGCAUCUUUAAAUGAGCUAAUAAAAUUUCUAACAUUUUCAUCAUUUUCAUCCUCACAGGGAGCAAGCAUAGUCUUUACC
rnacentral:lncRNA from 1 species